rnacentral:miRNA from 1 species
AGGCUUUGUAGAGGAUGGAAU